rnacentral:piRNA from 1 species
UCUGACUGAAGGAUGGAGGUGCUGAAUAA